rnacentral:lncRNA from 1 species
CUGGUCAGGUCAGGCCUGGCGGGGGAUUCGAUCCUCUGCCUGAAACCUUGGAGUGUCUGAAUGGAAAGGAGAGCAAUGAAUCAGCUUUGGUCCCCAUGCCUGUCAAAUCCUGCCUCCCAGGGUCUGAGGAGCUGCAACAAGAGUAUUCUGCACAUAGUGUGUCUGUAUACACCAUUGCCUGAUUGAAGCAAACUAAGACUGAAGAAGAUUGAUUCCGGCUCACAGUCUGAGGAACCAGUCCAUCAAAGCAGGAAGGAGAGACAUGGUGCUGGGUCUUACCACAGAGGCUUCUGUAAGGACUCAACGAGAUCAUGAGACAGAAGUGCUGCCUCUCAACCCAGCUAGGAACUCUCUAGACCUGCGUGUCUUCCUCUCCUGCCAGCUCUGUGUCCCCACCUGCCCAGUGACCAGGCAUCUAGGUGGCAUGCCUAGGGUUGCCCCCAUCCUCUGGAGGAGACACUUCUGGGUGUCCAAGGCUAACCCCCUACAAACACUUGGAAUAAAUCUUACAGCCACGGCCACCACAGCAGCAUUAGCACGGCCACCACAGCAGCAUUAGCACGGGCUAAUGUAUGUAUUAUUUACAGAGUUUCCUGAUGUACUCAGAGAACUCCCCUGAGAAGUAUAAU